rnacentral:lncRNA from 1 species
UUGUAAACUGAUUUGUUUAUGGAUUGGUACAAACAAUAAUCUGCCAAACAAAUCAACUCAUAUUAAACUGAUACAAUGUGUUACAUACCAACUCAUCCAUAACAAGAUAGUGAUACAAACUCAUAUUGCUAACUGAUACAAAUUGAUACAUACCAAGUCAUCCAUACAAACUGAUACAUAGAAACUAAUUCAUACUCCUAAAACAUCCUAAAAAACAAUACACAUAAGAUUAUAAGAAACAUAAUACUCCAUAUCUUUUUCAAUUUCAAGAUCUUGUUCACUUGAGUUUGAAGUUCCAUCACAACUUUCCCUAAUUCUUCAUUUCGUACUUUGACUUUUUCAAACUCCUUUUUUGCAUCAUCAAUUUUCUUUGUUAUGCUUUCCAAUCUAUUCAUAAUAAAUUGCCCAUUCUCAUAUCCUAAAUCGUCAUGGAACCAAUUGAAAAAACCACACCCUUUUUGCAAGGAUCUCUGAAAAUUUCAUAUAUGUAUCAAAAUGGGUUUAUCACAUUUGGACAUAAAUCAAACUGAAAUUAGGGCUUACUUUAAAUUUGGACAACCCCAAAUUUCCCCCCAAAAUUCUUAUUAGUUGUUGCCCUACAAAUCACAGUUUUGUCCCCACAAUGACAUUUUGGUACCCAUCACGAGUUUACGUAUAGACUGGAUUCACAACUUUCAGAGUUCUUAUGCUUCAGAAAUGAAGAACAUUGGUCGGACUUCAUGCUUCGAAGAAAACACGGAUGAAGAGCAUGAUGCAAACGAAGAUGAAAAUUAUGCAUAUGAUAUAACCAAAGAUGAAAAUGAUGUAGAUGAUGCAAACAAAGAUGAAAAUGGUUCACAUGAUGUAACUGAAAAUGAAAACACAUACAAAAAUGAAGAUACAUAGUGAAAACGAAUAAGAAAAAUGGUAAUAAGGAAGGGACAUUGCCAACUCAACUGACACGUAGAUUAAAUAAACGAACGUUUGAGGAAAAUAAAUGAAAAGGACUCAUAUGCAUCUGUUACAAAGUUAAAGGACCAAAGUGACACGGAAAAAAAAAUUAAGAGAGCCAACUGAACCCAAUGGUAUAGUUAAGGGACCAAAAGAGGUAUUUUGCCUUUAUUAAAUGACUUCCACCAUCUAGAUUUAAGGUUGUCGAGUACGUUGGAUAAUCAUAUAAAACACCCCAAUCAAAGUUUCUUUUGAAAGUGAUCUUAAAAAGCUUUAUCUCAUUCCACCUUAAAGUGGCCUCUUCAUUUUUUAAUCUAAUAAGAGUGGGAAUGGGUGCUUAAGUACUUGAAGUAGCUUCAACUUUCUUUUGAUUUUUGGGUCCCGUGGUUAGUAGGUAAGAAAUAAGAUGAAAAAUAUUGGCUAUGGUUUGGGUUACCGAGUGUCAAAAUAAUAUAAUAAAUAAGAAGAUAAUCAACAAGUAAAAUUGUUGAAACUAAAACAUUAUUUAUAUAUUCAUAGAGUUGCGCCACUCUGGUGAUCUAGCGUGUCACAUUUUCAAUCUCCAACAUUCACAUAAAGACUAUAUAUGAUCUAAUCACACCACUUUUGGUACUAGGUGUGACGCGUGUAACACAUAACAGAAGAAUAAGUUUUGAGAGUGAAGGGGCGAGAUAGUACUUCUAUGGUAAUAUUCGGGGGUGACAGCGACUAGCGUUUCCCUAUGUACUUGAUUGAUGAACCUAUGGCCAUAAAUGACGUCAAUCUUGAUUACUUGGCCAUCACAUAGAUUGGAGUUGUUUAGAUUUUGGAAGAAUUUUCCAUUAUGAGCUCUCAGAAAAUGGUGGAGCUCGACCGCUAUGAUGACUACAUAGAAGAAACUUGAUAAAUAUUUGCCUACGUUUGAUUUUUGUUCAGGCACUUGAGACCAGACCUUUUCCUUUUUCCUAAUGUUUAUUAUUACUUUUUUACUUACAUAGAGGAUGAUCUCAUGAAUGUUACUAGGAGGAAAGAUCGCCAUGCAAGGAAUAAGGUGAUAAGUAUAAAAUUUUCUUGUUUUACAUAGGAACUAAUUGACUUAAAAUAUAAUUAGUCACGUGAAACAACCUCAAUUUAUCAAGUAAAGAUGAUAAAACACGUGUAUGAGCCUCUUAACUAUGUUGUUCAUAAGCACAAGUGAAAAUGAUCCAUGAAAACAUAAAUCAUCAAGAAAAAAGAUAGAGAAGCUCACCAGGAGAGACAUGGGAAUGCUUAAAGAAGCAAAUAAACUCACUUCUCUUAGUCAACGAAAGACCUCGCCCAACCAGAUGCAGGGCAACACAUGCAGGGAUCUCCUUGCUAGGAAAAGAAGAUAAUCAGCUAGGCGAGCUAAGGUGGAACGAAAAGCAUUCAAACCUUUAUUCAAAUCUAAGUUACUUCAGAUUGAAGAAAAAUGAAACUCAUUAGGCGAGGAUGACAGACUCACCUAGCAAAGCAAGGCAGUUUGAGAGUCCUUGUGGGCUACGUAACUUUAAGAGGAACGGAGACAAUCUCUCUAGGCGCAAAAUAGGGCUACGCCUAGCAAGGCAUGGCGGAACAUGACCACUUGGAUGAGCUGAAAAAUAAAUUGUGGGGAAAAAGACAAGUCCACUACCCAAGCUAAAGAUCUCACUAAGCGAUAAUGAUGCUACCAACCUCUACAAAUAGCAGAUGAAACCAGUUUAAAGGGAUACUUUUGGAUAGGAUUUGUUAAUACAUUCUCAUAGAAAAAUUCCAAAAAUAGCAAGAGAGAGAGAAUGGGGGAUUUAAGAGAGAGAGAGAGAGAGAGAGAGAUCAAAUGCAAAUGUUGUCCGAGAAAUCGACACGUAUGUAGGCAUGGCAACAUAACCCGUACCCGCGGGUACCCACCCGAACUCGCCCCGAAGUUGACGGGGAAAACCCGUUUUGACUGGGUUUGGGUUUGGGUUUUCCCCGAUUAUAAAAUAUGGGGACGACUCGGGUAAUGGGGACACUAGUACCCACCCCGAACCCACCCCGUUUAUUUAUUAUGUACAUUAUUAUUUAUUUUUGAUGAUUUAGAAUAUUAAAUAAGUGGCCAAUGUUUUAAUAUUUUGAUUUGUAUUAAUUAUUUAAAAUAUUCGAAAUGUAUGUAUGAUAUUUUUUUAGAUUUUUUUAUUUUAUUAUUUAUAAUGUAAUUUGAUUUUAAAAAACUUAAAUAUUUCUAUUAAAAAAAUUGAUUUCACUAAAUGGAUGGUGGCGGGGCGAGGAUACCCGAACCCAACCCGAACCCGUUUGGGACGGGUUUGGGUUUUAAUUCUCCAUCCCCGUUUGUGUUUGGGACGGGGAACGGGGAUUGUUUGGGGAUUCAGGUUUGGGUUUGGGGGAGGUGAAAAACGUCCUCGACCCGCCCCGUUGCCAUGCCGACACGUAUGUCAUUAAAUUUAUUUCUUCUAGGUCUUCAUUGUACAACUACUAUUAGUAAUAAUAUAUAAUUUCUCUUUUAUUGGGGUUAGAUGUAGUUGUACGAAUAUUCAUGUAUAAAUUAUGAUCAUGGCAUUUUAUGUAAAUCUAAUUAUGAUUUAAUACCAAUGAACUUCUUCAUGCUUAAUGCUUGUUUUAAAGUAGCUAACUAGAACAUGUUUUCAUGAUUUUUGAAUAAUAUCGAAAAAUACUUUUUGUAGUGUUAUAAUUGUAAACAGGCCCCGCCUAAGGCGAUGCCUUUAGACCUCCCCAAAAGAGGUGGCGAUAGAAUUUUUCCCAAAGGGAGGUAUCGCCUCGUCCCAUGACUUUCCUAUCACCCAGUCGUGGGAAACGUGAGAUACGAUGUUUCUUGGGUAGAGAGAAGCUAGGGUUAAUAACUGAACCUCGUCUCUCUUGGAAAUAUGGAUUCAACGGUCCACCAUUGACUGAGUAGGCGGUGACCCUUUCCAAGAAAUCUCGAGGCCUUAAAAGUCUCUAUAAAUAUUCUUCCCCCAAGGGAAGAAGACAUAUCAUUUGCACCCUAAGCAUAACGCUUAGACAAAUCAUAACUCAUAUUGAUCACACCUCUCACACGCUUACAACAAACAUAUCUUUCAUCUAUAAAGCCUCUCACCUCACGUGAGCAAGACUUAUAAAACCACCAUAAUACACCAAUGUAUAUGGUUUCUUGCCGUCGUGGACAAGCUCUAACCACUCCAAAUUUUUAUAAACCUACUAAGGCCUCUAAGUCCCCCUUCCCUUGCAAGAGGAGCAUGCACAUAUAUACUUUUUGACCAUUGCAGUAACGCCCACCAUGGGACUCCAGUAAAACUUAACUGGGCCACAAUCAUACUUCAACUCCCCAAUCUUCCCUCUGAAGAUGGCAUGCAGAACUCUAUCUUAUGACAUAAACAUUGUUGCCUCGGGUUUCUUCAAUAGAUGUAACUUUAGAUCCUCCCAAAGGAAACACGUAAGACAUGUGUUUGCAACAAGGUGAUAUCCCAUGGGUUCACUUGAAACAACCUAGGGAGUUCAUGGGUUAAUAUCACCUUCUUUGAGGAGGAGGCCUUCAACAUCAACCCUCACAAUGAUGAUUCGUUGGUCAUCACUAUGUAACAUGGCAAUUGAGAUAUCAAAUACGUCUUGAUAGAUCAUGGUAGCUCUGCUGACAUCUUAUUCUAAGACGCCUUCCAAAAACUAUGAAUUGACCCUACAAUGGUUUAUUAAUGAGGUUGUCAGGCUAACAUGUACAAAUAAUGGGAUAUGUAACCCUAGAGACCACAUAUGGUGACGACGAGAACGCCUGAGCAAUUGACGUAAAUUACCUUAUUGUGGAUGCCUUGUCGCCAUAUAACAUCAUCCUCAGACGACCUACCUUCAACAUUCUGGAGCCAGUUGUUUCCAUCAUAUACAUUUCCCUAAAGUAACCACUUCCGAGAGGGCGAGUCGGUACAAUUCGAGAAGAUCAACAAAUUGCCCAAGAAUUCUAUCAGAAUAGCCUUAUGGAGGAUAAAAAAGAUCCCACCUUGGUUGAUUCCAACCUUUAUGAAGUUCAAAAUACUAAUCUCGAGUGUUGGGACCCCAAACUGGCCGCAAAAGAAGAAAGGCUCACGCCUACAGAGGAUUUAAACAAGGUCUAUAUAGUUCCUCACACCCACUAGGUGACGAAGAUAUGUACCUUAUGCAUAAAGGAGGAAUGGGAACUAGUCGACCAAUUCAUUAAAUGUUUGAUUGGGAUCCCUCCGACAUGCCAUGGAUAGACACCAGAGUGGUAUGUCAUCGCCUCUCCAUCCACCCUUCCUCCAGACCAGUGACCCAAAAGAAGUGAAAAAUAGGUGAGGAAAAGAGAGUCGUCAUAUAUGAAGAUGUCGAAAUACUAUUUGACUUUAUUCAUCACAAGAACAAAAUACCUCACCUGGCUCCCCAACGUGGUUCUAGUAAGGAAAACCAACAACAAAUGGUGCUUGUGUGUGUGUGGCUUUCACCGAUCUAAAUGUUGCAUGUCCUAAAUACCCAUACCCGUUGCAAGACAUUGAUCACCUCAUCGAUGGGUCAUUAAGAUACCGCACGUUAAGCUUCACGCCAACAUCAUAAAAUCUCAUAUCUUUCUCAUUAAAACUCAGGAAAUAUCAGGUAUGCUAAUAAACUUAAUGUUCUAUAUUGAUUUCCUUUGCAUACAACUUGAAUGUUGAUUCAUGCUUCCAUUGUUUACAUUUUCUCAAGUUUGGAAGUAACAAAUAGAUAACAUGAUUAGGAAAUAAAAAAACUAUACUUCAUUUAUUCAUGCCCUAGCUAUCACUUUUAUGCUGAGAAACAUCAUUCUUGGAUUGUCAUAACAUCUUGAUUAGGUUUUUUUUAGAAAAAUAAUUUAUAUGGUAGUUGGGUGUUGUUUAAAAUAUGUGAAAUUUUAGGUUCCUACAUGCUAUACUUUUGUGACUUAAUAGGUGGAUAUUGUCAAAGUCAUUGAAUUUUUAUAAGACCUUGCCUCCUAGAUGUCAUGAACCAUCAGGAAUAGAAGAAGGAACCCAAGGUUAAACUUUGAGUGUUGAUGAUUGAAUGAUUGUGUUGCCCCAAAAUGAUACACAACUAGGUUUUGUUAAACUUGAACCAAAAUCAUAUUUAACCUAUAUUUUCAAUUUUGCAAAUCAUUUAUGAAUAGUGAAAAGAUGUAACUUCAUAUGCAUAGUCUUGUUCUCUAACAAUUCUUCAAGUUUUAUUAUGACUAUGAAUGUUGUAAGUGGCUCCUAAAAGAUCAACCAUUUGAAGAAAAGGGCAAGAAGCGAGAUCAUCCUGAGUGCCAUAUGAUCACGACAGAUUCAAAAGUCAUGUGCAUGAAAGUUUUUAUGAACAAAUAAAAAGCAGACUACUAAUCAGUCAAAGAAAGGUUCAUCUGGAGGAUCCAGGAGAAUUAAUCAGUCAAAGAAAGGUUCAUCUGGAGGAUCCAGGAGAAUUUUAAGGUUUUGUACAAGAAAACAACAUUAUAAAGUGAAGAGUGUUGGAGAAUCCUCCAUAAGUGAUUAACUUGGACAUCAUCAUAGAAUUCUUGCUAAUUUUAAACCAUCUAAGGAUGACCAGCUUAAAAGAAUAUAUUGGGUGAGAGGCGGCUUAGUACCAAUCAAUAGAGAAGCUAUCCAUGAAUACUUAGAAGAUAUUUGUGAGGUAGAUCCUAGUAAACUAGACCCGUUUGCUAAGAAAAUUGCAAGGGAAAUUGGGACUACGACCAAAUAUCGACCAACAUUUGCCAUGAAGACAAAUCUUAUGAAAUGGGCUUAGAUGAAACACCAAUCCAAAUUUAAGAGAGCUAACUUCUACACCAUAUCAAAAAUGUGGAUGACCUUCAUCUUACAUAAUGUCACCCCAAAAAGCCACACUUCUUCAACAAUCCUCCACACAACCCAACUCAUUUGGUAUAUUGUAACUAAUUGAUAAAUAGACAUAUCAAGGAUUAUUUUCGAUAAAAUAUGGGAUAUCAUAAAUUCAAAUACCAAACCUCCGCUAGUUUUCCUAAGUUUAAUCACCAGAUUAUGUAGAACACAUAAGGUAGAUUUUCUAGGCCACCACCACCUCUGCACCAGUUCAAGAACGGAGUAGGAGUUUGUGCUUUGCUAUUGUAUGAGGGAGAACUUGUAGAGCACGAAAUCAUCUAGCUACCCCGCAUUAUCAAGGAUCCCCAAAAUUUGAUAUUAUGGAUCUUAGUAUGAUGGUCUGCUUUACUCAUAAUUGGGAUAUUAGUGAUGCAUACCUUCUUACUCUGUUUUUUUAUCAAUGAUUUAUAAACAAUUUAGAGCUGCGGAUUAAGGACCCAUAUUCCCCAUAUGAUCACAUGCUUCCUCGAAAAGAUUUCAUUAGCUAUUUUCAGUGGCAUGAGAGCAGACCGUUUCAAAACAGUUGAAUUUUUUAACAACAAAAUAUUUUGCUUAAAGAUAAGGAUUAACUAACCAAUUUAAAAAUUAUAUAAAAAAACAAAUUAAUUUGGCUUUAUUGCAACUUUGGUCCUCCUAUUUUCUUUUUCUUUUUUAACUUUUGAUCCAUCUAUUUUAAAAUCUAGAAUUUUGGUUACUUUUUAAGUUAUUUAUUUAUUUAUUUAUUUUAGUUCUUUUUUUAAUUUGAGACUAAUUUUUAAUGAUGUGGCGUUGAGAGUGAUGACUUGUCACUUUUAAGUUAACCAGUUUUAUUUCCACAUCAUUUUAAUUAAUAAUAUUAAUAUUAUAAAAAAAUAAAAAAAUAAUCUGUUACUAUUAUUUAAAGAGUCACAAAUUCUCUCAAAUGAACCCUAACCUAACCCUCAAACGUGUUUCUUCUCUGUCUCUUACGGUCUCCAUUCUCCAUCUAUUCUUCUCCAUAUAGUUUUUUCUCCAAACCCAAUUUCUUCUCCAUUCCUUACUGUCUCUUUUUCUUUUCCUCUUCACCCAUACCAUAGACAACGUGUAUUAGAUGCCCCCUCACUUUUAAUCAUUCUUUCAAGUUGCAUAUAUGAUAUUAAGUCCACAUCCUAAUCCAUUUCAUUUUAGAAACAAUCUCAUCAACAUACAACUUCACAUGAUGAUGUACAAAUUGACCCUAUGAUGUAUUGUAAGUCUAACAAGUUAUUUUUCAGUUGGCCCACACAAAAAAAAAACACAACAAAAUUCGUAAGGAACACAACAAACAUAAAACAUAAUAAUUAACAAGUCUUCACAGUGAGAAGAACAAGGAGAAAAACGAAUCUUCCCAAGAAAAAAACCUAAGCAAAACUCGGAGAAGAACAAACAUACCUCAAUAUACAAGACGAAUUUGACAUUGUUGACGAAGAACAUAGAACGCAGAACUCAGAACUUGAUGCUUGAAGACAAACACAAGAACGCAGGAACAGAAAUCCAGUAACGCUUGAAGAGAGCUUGAAGGUGUCGAACAAAAUCACAAUAACACUUGAAUAUGUCGAAGACAGUCGCAUGAACGCUUGGGUUCGGAUUUUCUUUUCUAAACAAUGAUUUGAAAAACGCCGAUUUCUUUUAAGAGGAC